UACGUAGGGGGCGAGCGUUGUCCGAAGUUACUGGGCGUAAAGCGCGCGUAGGCGGGUCCUUAAGUGAGGGGUGAAAGGUUCGGGCUCAACCCGGACACUGCCUUUCAUACUGGGGACCUCGAGUCCGGGAGGGGAGAGCGGAAUUCCUAGUGUAGCGGUGAAAUGCGCAGAUAUUAGGAAGAACACCGGUGGCGAAGGCGGCUCUCUGGAACGGUACUGACGCUGAGACGCGAAAGCGUGGGGAGCGAACAGG
rnacentral:rRNA from 1 species